CUCCCCUCCUCACUUUUUACACCAGGGGCUGUGUUGUCACCCUGAAUCGCUUUCCCCAUGUGUGAGUUGGGGUGGGGUAGAGGAAUAAAGGAAGUGUCUACAGACAUUGCCUCAUUUUGGAGGCGUCAUUGUAUUUACCCUUAUUUU